CCUACGGGAGCAGCAGUGGGGAAUCUUGCGCAAUGGGGGCAACCCUGACGCAGCCAUACCGCGUGUGCGAUGAAGGUCUUCGGAUUGUAAAGCACUUUCAGUGGGGAAGACGAUGACGGUACCCACAGAAGAAGUCACGGCUAACUUCGUGCCAGCAGCCGCGGUAAUACGAAGGUGGCGAAUGUUACUCGGAUUCACUGGGCGUAAAGCGUCGGUAGGUGGUUUAUUAAGUCAGAGGUGAAAGCCCCGCGCUCAACGUGGGAAUUGCCUUUGAAACUGGUAGACUUGAAGGUAUGAGAGGAUGGCGGAAUGACUGGUGUAGAGGUAAAAUUCAUAGAUAUCAGUCGGAACACCCAAGGCGAAGGCAGCUAUCUGGCAUAUUCUUGACACUGAGCGACGACAGCGUGGGGAGCAAACAGGAUUAGAUACCCUGGUAGUCCACGCCGUAAACGAUGCAUGUUCGUCUGUCGGGCCCGGCCGUACGACGGGUUCGGGUUGGGUCGUUACGUCGUAACCGUACCGGUAAACCGUAACUCGCCGCCGUCGGGGGUAGGGUACCGGGGCCCGGCCGGAAACGGGUUUAAAAACCGUUAAACCGUAAACGGUAAAGUUAAGUUACGGGUACCGGUUACGGUUAGGUACGGUUACGUUCCGGACCGGACCGGGACCGACCGAACGGGAAGGGGAGGGAGG
rnacentral:rRNA from 1 species